rnacentral:rRNA from 1 species
UUCCCCCUACGGGAGGCAGCAGUGGGGGAUAUUGCACAAUGGAGGAAACUCUGAUGCAGCGACGCCGCGUGAGGGAAGACGGUCUUCGGAUUGUAAACCUUUGUCUUUGGGGAAGAAAAUGACGGUACCCAAAGAGGAAGCUCCGGCUAACUACGUGCCAGCAGCCGCGGAAAUACGUAGGGAGCGAGCGUUGUCCGGAAUUACUGGGUGUACAGGGAGCGUAGGCGGGCGAGAAAGUGUAAUG